UUUGACUGAUGCACAACGAGUGCGCUGCCAGGCGCUUCACUGAAUGAACUGACAAGUGAUAUGCUGUGACAGCGAUUUGGAUGACACACACGAUCGAGCACACACGGCUCGCGGACAGUGACAGCUAACACGGUGCUGGUAGAUCACUGGGGGUGAGCCCUGGAAUGCUGGUAUUUACACGGCACGGUGCUUUGGACUUUGAUGGGUGAUGGUAUGCACGGAGGUGCGGGUGCUAACACGAGUAGUGGUGAUCGCUACAGGGAGGAGGUUACAAUGAUAAAUAGCAGCAAUUGCUGUUCGAAUGGCUUGGACCGGAUAUCUGUUUUGGAGGAAACCCAUUUGAUUAGAGGUGCAUCUAGAAUUUCCCUAUCCUGGACAGAGAGCUUAUUCAGAUGAGCUUCUUGGAGAAAUUGAAGGCCAGUCUCUGGGGAAUCAAGAGUCCGGUGAUAGAGUGUUUUGAAAUGAGAGGUCAUCACCUUUGUGAUGUCUUUUGUAGUACGGGCCCAUCCUGUGGGAGUUUUGAGUUUCUGGAUAAAGGUAUUGGAUUGUUGUCUUUUGACAAAAUUUGCUUAUAAUUUCCCUGAUUUGUUACCCCAUCGAUAGUAUCUAUUUGCAGUGUGACUCAACUUAUGUUGCAUCUGUUCAGUCAAUAAAGUAUUGAAAAGAG